CUGGUGCCAGCAGCCGCGGUAAUUCCAGCUCCAAUAGCGUAUAUUAAAGUUGUUGCAGUUAAAAAGCUCGUAGUUGAAUUUCGGGAUCAUCAGGUUGGUCGUGCCUCUGGUAUGUACUGAUUUCGAUGGUUCCUCCUUCUUGUAGAACCGUAAUGCCAUUAAUUUGGUGUUGCGGGAAAACAGGACUGUUACUUUGAAAAAAUUAGAGUGUUUAAAGCAGGCAAUCGCUUGAAUACAUUAGCAUGGAAUAAUGAAAUAGGACGUUUGAUCCUAUUUUGUUGGUUUCUAGGAUUGACGUAAUGAUUAAUAGGGAUAGUUGGGGGCAUUAGUAUUCAAUUGUCAGAGGUGAAAUUCUUGGAUUUAUUGAAGACUAACUACUGCGAAAGCAUUUGCCAAGGAUGUUUUCAUUAAUCAAGAACGAAAGUUAGGGGAUCGAAGACGAUCAGAUACCGUCGUAGUCUUAACCAUAAACUAUGCCGACUAGGGAUCGGAUGAUGUUAAUUUUUUAAUGACUCAUUCGGCG
rnacentral:rRNA from 1 species